AGGCAACACCCAAAGCCACUGUCAGAUGUCAUGGAGAUGAGACCUCACAAGCCUACUCAACGUGAAGAUGAUGAGAAUGAAGACCUUUAUGAUGAUCUGCUUCCACUUAAAGAAUAGUAUUUGGCUGACUCCUGGACUAUGCAAGCACAAGAAGAGAUUUCAGAAGGUUUGGAAGAGAGUCUCUUCUGAGAGGCUGAGGGCUAAGAAGACUGCCCUGUGCAGGAAAGAUGUUGGAGUGCAAGCCCAUCUGGAAUGGAGAGACCUCGAUGAAACACAUAGGCAAUUAAUUAGAUCCCAGAAAGGCCACACUGUGCAAGCCCAUCAUGAUCUGAAGGCAGCGGUGGUUGCUGGUGGAGGAUGUGAGCUUUGGAACUGGAGCUCUUUGAUUCAAAGCUCUGCCGCUUACUCACUGGAUAAGACCAUGAUCAAGUUAUUUCAUCUGAAAAAUUGAGUUGACUGCAGGUAACUGAAACUGCGGAAAGUGAAACUGCAGAUAAGAGGGACCACUGUAAAUAAGUGACAUGAAUGAUACUGCAAAGGACCAUAGCCUAACCAGCCAAGCAAACUGGAAGUACCUUUAGACUCACGCUUUGCCAAGCUCAGUUCCAGAAUCACAUGAUGAAAAGAAUGAUGGAAAGAAAAUGUUUGUGAUAUUAAAAUUAAGGAAAUUACUCCAACUCAGAGUUUCAUCCUAAACUGAGAGACCAACAUCAAAAGAAUCUUCUCAAGUUUCUGAGUGACGGCAAGAAACUAGACUACUGUUACCAAGGAACUUUUUAAAGCAAACUGCUUUUGCUGAUAUGAGGAGAAAGUUAAUUAAUAAGAAAAUACCUUAAAUGUGUUUUGAAGCUGUUAAAGGUGUGUAACAAUUACUCUGAAUUUAUUAUAGCACCAGUUAGAGACCCAGGAAAACUAUAAAAUUGCACAUCAGGGCAGAGCUGAGAGACGACAUCUGCUUUGGGAUUGAAAAAAAAAAAAAAAAAAAAAAAAACAGAAAGGGAACAAGAGAAAUAGCAAGUCAUUUAACAUUUGGAAUUCAGGACUCCAGACUCAUCUAUAGGACCAAACUGCUCUUGAAAUAUACUAGAUUUCCUUUAGCUCCAGAGGUUUUGCCUUCAUCAAAUGCCUGUAACACUCUUAUUGUCAAAAGGAAUAAGUGAUGGUGAACACUGUGCCAGAUAGGAGGUACCACACACAGGUUCAGCAAAAAGCAGAAGCAAGAGGUAUAUUUUUUGUUAGAUCUUAGUUCAUCCCUAUGUAACAGACAUUUCAGGGAAGGGAGGAGAAAAUAACAAAGCUACCUAUGAGCAAAGGUAAAUGGGAUUCCCUAUCCUUGUUUCCCAGUUUCGGUCAUGGUAUUGCUUAUCCAUUAUUAGUUAUCCACUGCUGGGUAACAAAUUACUCCCAAACUUAGCAGCUUCAAACAACAAUAAACAUGUAUUAUGUCACAUAGUUUGUUUCAGAACUUUGGGAGUGGCUUAGCUGAAUGGUUGUAGCUCCAGGUGCUUUUUGUGGUUGCAGUCAAGAAGUCAGCCCAUUCACACAGCUGCAGACAAAAGGACUCGGUUCCUUGCAGGCUGAGGCCUGAUUAGGCAGGGGGCCUGAGUGUCUCGCCACAUGGACCUCUCCAUAGGGCUGCUUUUCGUGGCAUGGCAGCUGACUCCCCUCAGAACAGAUGAUCAAAAGCAGCAAAAGAGAAGCCUCACAUGACUUUUGCCCUAGCCUUGGGAAUCACACUCUUCCAUUUCUACAAAAUCCUAUUGGUUACAUAGCAGCCCUAUCCAGUGUGGGAGGGAACUGUAUACAGGCAUGAAUACCAGGAGUGGAAAACCACUAGAGACUGGCUACCAUGGUCACUUACACACCAACAUGAAACUUUCAGCCUUUCCACCUCCUACCACUUAUACUAUAUUUAAUGUUUUUCCUGUUAUGGACUUUAAAAAAGAGGUCAUCAUAAGCAAUAAUAUCCAUGAAAUCAUGGAUAUCAUGUGAUCUUUAUAUUUAUUUUUAUUUUUAUAUAUUAAUUUCCAAAUAAAAAUAGAACUAUUAAAACAAAA
ensembl:lncRNA LINC01934 long intergenic non-protein coding RNA 1934